AAAAGAGAAGACAAAGAGUAAAUGGUUUUGCAUCCAAACUUCUCACUGAAAGAGGGGAAAAAAAAAAAAGAUGGAAAAAAAACACCCACACGCCACUAUGUUGGUUGAAUAUUAGCCACACAUGUGCUUUCUCAUCUUCCCUGGAAGGAGUUUUUCUUAUAAAAUAUACAUGUACUUUAUUAAGAAUGAUAGUAUGUCAGCAUGUGUAUGUGUCUUUAACAGAAAAGAAGAUCCUAAGCGUCCCUCCCAAUCUGAUUUCAAUUUUAAAACGUAACUGGAAAGUCACAUAGUUUGCAUGCUGCUGGGAAAGUUGCAGCCCAACGCUUGCAAAAUAGUGAGAAUUUUCAGUUUGUCACUCUUUUUUUUCCCCUCCCCUUCGCUUCCAAAAUAUACGAUAAAAAACUGGUCCAUUGUAACAGCCAGUAGUUUCUGCCACAACCCGUGGCUCUGCCUGUGCUCUGUGUGAGCAUGAGGACGGAGGCUCAGAGCAGUGAUCUGAGUGACUCCAUUUAGGUCCUCAGGCCUGGGAGAAGGGGAUACUGGCUCCAGAAGGCAUUGUUCACUGGAGGAUGCGGACGCAGAAUGUCUUCUGUGCCACUGCUUCACUCAGGGUUUCUGGAAUGGUCUGACCAUGUCCCUAGAAAACUGUAGCCUAGGGAAGCCAAAGAGAGAUCCUAGGCAAAGGGAAGGCUGUAUGGGAUAAUCAAAACUCUUGCAAAGCCGUGUUAGGAACCCACACACAGCUGUAUUUAGAAAAGCAUGGAAUCUGACAGCGUUCCACCCCUGGCUUUUCUGCCUGCUGGGUAUGUCCCCCCCCCGCCCCCCGCCCAAGCUAGUUGCUUGUCUCCUUGCACCUCUCUGCCUCCUCAGCUAGAAAUGCAGCGUAUCGGUAUUUGCAAGGGCCGUGAUAUUGUUAGGGUUGUUGGAGAUUUAAAUGAAACCACCAGUGCGAAGUGCUUAGCCCGGAUCAGCUCCUAGUUAAUAGAGGUGGGCUGCUGUUAUUUUUAACUUCUGCCGCUAAAUUAGCUGUGUGACCGGUGCGAACUGCUUAAUUUCUCCGGGCUUGUGUUUCCUCAUAUGAACUAGGUACCAUCCGAUAUGGAACACUUCACAGGAUGGGUAUGAGGAAUAAAGGGAUGAGUGCAGCGUUCCGGAUGGCAACUUUGAAGUAUGUGGAGAUGAGAGCGAUGCUUACAUUAGAAGCAAGAGGCAGCCAUCUUUGGCUCCCAAUGAUGGCUUAACAUCCUGUCAGGCAGAGAGAGGAAGUCAUUGCUUUCUUUUUGUUGGCAAUUCUAAAUUUAAAUGAAUGUCCUUGUCAGUGGUGACUGCAUCUAGGAAGUGACCCUGUAAACUUCCCAACUCUCACGUCUGCGAGAAUGUGCCUUUGUUGGUAAGCGAGCCCCAACUACCACAAAUCCUGCAGUAGACGUCGGAAGGCCAGAACAUCUAUGGGACCCCAGAAGUACUGAGAUAGAGUUGCUUUGUCCUAAAAAAUUUCUCAGACGAAUCGUAAACCGUCAAAGGUUUUAGCUACCUGGGAGAGAAAACCAGUUGGAAUCACAGUAGAAACUGUGAAUUUUAAAGUAUCAGUAAAGAAUGGAACUUCUGACUCCCAGAAGUGGAAUUUAGACAGCUGAAGAUGAAGUAAUUCUUUAGUUAUGGGUCUAGCAGCCUCCAGUCAGAAUGUCACUUUUCUCAGGGGAGACUCCAAGGCAAGAGCUCCCUGAAAACACUGCUGCAUCUCACCCGUGUCCGCAGGGACAGCGUGCAGAGGACAGACGUGUGAUCCCAGCUGCCUUACGAAUCCUGGAUACGUCCCGCUUACCCGCUCUGAGCAGUAUAGUGCCUGGAAGCUGGAGGGAGGAGAUGAACUCUAGAGCCUGAGUUUGAAGCCAGCCUCUGCCACCCACCCCUGUCGGAAGUCAAGCCACUCCAUAACCUCGCUGACCUUUCGCUUUCUCGUCUCUAAGGCCGACUACGUACCAGGCAGCGUGCUAGAGCACCCCAAGCCAGGAAACAAGAGCGCUCUUAUAAGGGGUAGAGUACCACGUGAUAGCCUCAAAGUACCCAGAGCUCUCAUCACCAUUCAAUCCUCUGAAAAUGAAGCUUGUGAAUCUCACUUCCUAGAGUCGCCGCCUCCUUCAAUACAAAGAGCCGGGACAUGCUUUCUACUAGGCACGUUGCCACUGUAGGUGGGUCAGCAGCCAGCCUUGCUUCAGACCAGCAGUCUUGAGGACAGUGCGUGAAUCUGAUGUUGUGUCCUGGAAGUGACUCCCUUAAAUGAUAUCUCGCCUAUUUUAAAAUGUCCUUCAUCGUGGUAUCAACUGUGGGGUUUAAGGGAGGGUCCACUUUUGGCUCAGCUUUGCCAAUGUGAUUCAGCUUCCAUUAGUCAUUUCUGCAAAUGGGAAGGAGAAAGGAAAUUUCUGGGUCCUCUGUGAGUUAGUGCAGCGGACCUGCAAGGUGCUUGGAUUUCGGUGACCAGAAAAUUGCUCUCACCUCCAUGUCAUUAUGCUCCCAGUGAACUAGCCCCCAAGCGUGUUUGUGUUGGGGAUCUAAUAUAUUGCCUUUCAAUCAGAGCUGAGAGCCACUGAACACACAGACAGAACAUGACGAGCAGGUCAGGAAAGCAAUAAAGAUUUUACAGAGCUGUCCAAGGUGCUAAAUUUACUCAAUAAUGGUUUUGGCACCAUAGUGUUAACCUCUCAUUUACUACCAGUUUGAGGGACUAAAUUGAAGUAGCUGACUUCAUUUACCUUGAAAUGUAUAUUUUAUGACAUUAUGUAAGUAGAUUGAAAGGGCACUGCAGUUUUAACAAUUUAAAGGCUAAAGCAUGUUUAAGAUGAAACUUGAAUAUUUAUUGUAUAUUGCACUUAAAGUAUAUAGAAUGUUAAAAUGUAUUGAUUAAAUUUGUAAAAGGCAUUAUAAAAAUGACAGGUAGUAUAAAAGAUGUAUGCCUCUUAAAAUCAAACUGAUAGUAUAUGCUAUCUCUUCGGUGGUCACAAGUGUAAUUUUUUUGCAGUUUUAUAUGGUAAUUUGAAAAUUCUGUAAUUUCACGUUAGGAAGUGAUCGAGCCUGGGAUGUUAAAGAGAGAAACUUCCCAUAAGGGGACAAGCUGGAUGUUUCAUAUAAUCUUCUGUCUCUGAAAUUGUUCCUAAAGUCUUAUUUUUUGCGACAUUAGGAGGGAGCAUCGUGUAAGGAUCCUUCCACUCUAAUAUGCAAUUUUAAUAUUUCUGAAAAGAGAGAGCACUCGACAAGUACUAAUAUCUAAUUUUUCAAAGCAUUUAUUUGUCAGGAGAGAUUGUCUCUUCUUUUCAUAAUGUUUAAAACGUCUCGCUGCUUGCGGUCUAAAACAUGAGGGUAGAGAUUAGACUCUUCCAAGAUAAUUAAUCCUAUCCUUGGAUUAAAAAAAAAUACAUAUCCCAUUGGGGAAUUAAGAAGACAAAUACCAGUACCCUCAACAGUGAAAAGCCUCAGAGUCUCCUUAUAGAGCUAAUGCUUGUUCUCCAACCUACAUCCUGAGUCAGACUAUUUUUCUUUUCAUGGCUUUGGAUUUCUUCUCUCUUAAAGAAAGAGAAAAUGUAUAGUCCUUAAAAACUGCAACAACUCUUUGCUGACCUAUUUCCUUUCUCAAUUAAAACCUGUCUUUACCUGCCUUGCUAUGACCAUCGACUGAUGAUUAUGUGAAUGGAGAUCUGGAGAGGAAAAAAAAAUGGAUGAACCAUACUAAAUCUGCUUAGAGUUAGUAGAAACACUAGGAAGAUUCAAGGAUGAGUGGGGUUCGAGAAACAGUUCAAGUAUAAUUGGUACAAGUUUUACCAUGUUUUGGAACCUUUAUAAUGAAAGUGCUGAACGGGCUACAAAUGCAGAGAGAAGAUUUGGCUUUACUUCCUAUGUUGCAACCCAAUCAAUUAGCAAAUAAGUAUUGAACUUUCUCUUGUCCCAGCAGUCACACACCGAUAUUACUCUCCAGCACCUUUCAAGGCACCCUGUCUUCCCAGAAUUAAGGUACGGCGUUCUGUGGGAAUUGCAAAAGAUUUCCGCCACCAUCUGGUCCUAUCCUCUUUAUCCAAUCUCCUCUCCCUAAACAUCUGAAGAACUGCCCUCUAUUCUGGGCUAGUUAGUCCUCUCCAGCCUGGGAAGUAACAUGUUGGGCUCCUUCCUAUCUCCAUACCUUUACUCAUUUUGCCUUUAUUUGGGAAGCUGGCUUCAGUCUGUGCCCAUUUACAAUAUCUUCCCAUCCUCUAGGGCCUGAUAAUGAAGGUGGUGCUGGUGGUGGUGGUAGAGCAGUGGAAAACAUAACUGUUGUUUAUGGAAAGGGAAACAUUAACUCAUUUACUCUCCGUGGUGAGACUCCGUAUCGCCAUUUGGCAGACGAGGAAACUGAGACUCAGAGAGGUCCGUCAGCUUGCCCUGACGUCACACGACUAAUGAAUGGCUGAGCAGGGAUUCAAUCUCAGGCCUGUUAGACAUCAGAGCCUGAACUCUUCAUAAUUACACUAUCAUAUCAGAACUAAUUCCACCUUCACUGAGACCCCAGCUCCUAACCUCUCUCAUUCCUCUGAAAAAUAGUGCUGAAUGCACUGCCCAGCACUGCACAGAAGUGGACACUGUGGGGUCAUUUUGUUCUGGUCUUAAAUGUGUGAGUCUACAAUCUCCACAACCAGACUACAGGCUCUUGGAGGUCUUAAUUUCCUUCUCUAAGCCCCUAGCACUAUGUUCGGCAAACCACAGCCCUUGAGAAAUUCUUGUUGAAGAGCUCAUUCUAAGAUCAUUACUGAUUUUUAAAAGCGCGUGCUUAACUUACAUGAGGAAAUGACCAAGUCAUGUAUUUGGCAUAGUUUAUAAAAGCAGAAGACUUAAAUUUGGUGCUCCAUUUGGCUCUAGACCUUUAAAUCCAAUAUAUAAAUUCCCAAAGGUCAAGUCUUGAUCACUGGGGGGUUUUUUAAUACCACUUUUUUUUUUUUUUUAAGUGAAUUUGCUCCUUCACUCCUGCUGGCUUGUACUUACAUUUUAAUUUUGUGAUUAAUAUAAUGAAUCAUGUCGGGUACAGACAUUAUCUCAAGUUAUAGGCUGCUAACAACAUGAGGUUUGUCUUGAUGUACGUCAGCCUUUUAUUAACUAUACUCCUAGGCUCUUAGAAAUACUUAGGUAUUUGCACCCUCUUAGGAACCAGGCGUAUCACGUCUGAUAUGCAGACAUGGCUCAUUCACCUUUCCUUCCAUUUCAUGACAGUAAACCCGCUGAGGAUUAAUCACCUUCCAUGUGAAUCUUCUCUGCAGCAUCUGAUCUCAAAUGUGUUGCUAAUAAUCUCAUAUUCACUGGGCCCACCUAGCCUUCCAGAGAGAAUGGGAAGGCUGUCUAACCAUCCAAUACUGAGCCCGUUUAUAAACCCAGUUCCAUGUUUUGAGUCAUUCAAACCCAGAUGAGCAGGCGAGAUGGCCUGAACUCUCUUUCAUUCAGAGCACAUGUAGACCAACUCAUAAAGCCAGAUGGGUACCCGUUUACCAACACAACAUUAUAAUUUCAAAUCUCAGGAUCAGAUUUUGAGACUCUGGGAACUCCCUCAUAAAAUUCAAGCCCAGGGAUGCUUCUGUAAUUUGGGAAGACAACCUGUGCUUGGCUUUAUGCUCCCUCAGUUAGAAAAUAAUGUUUUGAGGGACGAAGAAGAAAACAGAAGCUAAACGUAAACAUCAAUUAUCAAAGCCAGGUUGACCUGGGUGAUUCCCGAGAAAGAAGUACAAUACUUUCCUGUCACUGCACAUUGCCCUGUCGCCCAUUUAUCACCACUCUACUUUGCCCUAUCAGGAGAUUCAAGAUACAGUGGGUUCAAAUAUCAGCAAUACAAAAUGAAGAGGACCGGCAAAAUCACUCCUGAUUUAAAGUCGAUAAGCACCUAUCGGCACUGAAAUCAGCACUGAAUCCGUUCACCUCCUCACGUUGGAGUUUACUAUUGGGUCCAAAUUUUAAACAGUAUAUUCAGCUUACUAGCCUUUAACUUCUAGCUCUUUCCCCACUUGCUUCUGAAACUACUGAUUGGAAAGUCUAAAAGCUGAAAAAGUGAUUGGAAGUUUCUGGCAGCCCAUAUCCUGCAGAGCUGGAUGUACAAUGCAAUAAAUACUAGUUGACUGAGAGGUAUUUCUGUGGAGGGUAGUAUUAUGUCCCAACUUCCUUUGUGUUUAUUCAGCCAAAUGGAAAAUUCCACAGUGGUAGACUUUGCAUCCUAAAAAAUCAUAGAAUGAGGGCAGUGAGGGAAGGGGUAAAACAAACCAAAAUAAUACUUGAGCACUGUUUAGCUUCCGAUCCUCUGAGACAUUCCUUAAAUUUUUCAUUUUUUCUGGUAAUAUGAACUUCUCGAAGAGCUUACCGCAGAUCAUUAGAAACCUUUAUUGUCACACUUUAAACACGCUUUACUCAGAAGCCCUAUGACCGAGAGGAGUCACUCUCAUCUAGCAUGGAUAUAAUUAAACAUGUUUCCGCUGAAAGGGGCAUUCUCAUUAUGGCUAAGGACCACUUUAGAGUAAAUUGAAAUGGAAAGGAGGAGCAUAGAUGAGGUGUAGGUAGCAAGUGGUUAGUUCUAGGGAGGCAUAAAAUGCCAAAUGUGUAACAAUUAUAUUUUACAACCCUGCAUUCUGAAGACUUCAUAGCAUUUUAUUAUAGAAGAAGCUUCAGCUGAAGCUUACUGAACGAACAUUCUAGUGCACACUCAUUGCCCAUAGUCUUUAAAGAAACAUAAAAUUCAAACCAUCAUCAAAAUCUGCAGAAAUAUUCAAAACAAAGGAAUCAAAUAUUUUACAAGGGUCUACUGCUAUUCACACAAGAGGCAUCGAAAGUGUUCUAGUCUAAAGAAAAUGCAGGGGCUUGAAGGGGGGGGCUUCUGAACCUCCUCUAAUUUUAAAGUUGAUUUUGUGUUCAGAUUAGAUGACACCCCUCUUACUUCUCAAACAUAUGAUUAGGUAUCAUCGUGCCGCGUGGCUGGAGACGCGCCCAAAAGCUUUGCCUUUGUUACAAACGUGGAAGACUUCUGAAUCACAUGAAAUUAAGGUAGGUUGUAAGCUAACGCAGCUACAUCAACGUAAGACACACUAACUUACAUGACUGACUUUUACAGUGGAAAGGAAAAGGCUGUUUUCAGGCAGCUGUUAUUGCCUCAAUGGGAAAAAGAAAAAAAAAAAAAAUCAAUGAAAGUGAAAUGAACACGAGAUUUUGUCUGAGUUGCAGUUAAUACCACUGAAGAGCUAUGGAAAUUAAAAGGUCAACAAAUAAAUUAGCCAGAGUGUUAUGAAAUGAAUGAUUUGGCUUAUAAUUUUAUUGACUGAAAAUUGUUCACUGCCUAUUAGACCAGGUAAUUUUUAUCUGGUGCCUCAAUUACUGUUCCGUAAGCAAUAAUAUAGUUGUAAGAGCUGCUGAUUCGAUCGCGUGACCUCUGAGAAGCUGGCUAGGACAGCUGACUUUACUAUGAUGGAUAACCAAGCUUGGUCUCCACGAGGUGCGAAACCUCCCUUUCCUGCAAGGGGAUCUCAUAAAAGAAACACUACACUUGAUUCAUUUCACCAAAAUGUUUGACUUUUCAAGUGUCAGCAGUUAAGUAUAAAUUGUGAAGCCAGGUAUUCCUGAGAAGAGUGAUGACAAUGGCUUUCCCCCUCUUUUUGGUCUCCUGGCAUUCUCUUCUAAAUGGUGUCAUGGUAAUUGGUGAAUGGGAGCCUGGGGUGCUUCCCGGCACAAAUACAGUGAAAAAUGGUGUCUGCCCCCUUGUGAAUAUGACCUGCUUGGAGGUACAGAGCUGAACUUGGUAACCUCUGGCUGGCUCUUCUUAUUCCAAUUCAUUGUACUGGUUUAAGACCAACGCUCUGGGUUAGAUCCUGCUGAGUGGCCUUGGAAAUCGACUUUCUGAUCAGGAUGAAAGUCUCUGCUUAAAGAGAAGGCUGUGGACAGAGGUGGCUUUUUCAGGGCUAGGUUGUAAAGUCAGCACAUGAAACAAAAACUGCCUAGAGUCAAAAUUACCCUUGAAACUCUUUUAAGUUGCCAAGGCCUGGGCUCUUAGAAACACAAAAGCCAGAAAUUAACCACUUGUGUUUCUCUUUGUCUUUUGGCUGUGGCUUCCCUUUCCCUAGGGCAAAGGACAAUAAAUAUCUAGUUUGAAAGUAAAAGGACCACUGAGUGAACAAAGAGACUUAUUGUCGUAUGUAUGUCCCUGUAUGUCUGUGUAUGUGUUUGGGGUGUGUGUAUACAAAUGUAUGUGUAUAUUUAUAUUUUUGGACAAGUACAUGUAGUUAAACUUGAGUAAGUGCUAUGUGCAGGCUGGAACUAUACUGGACUUUAACGAUAUCUAAGGAAGGCGAAAAUAGAGUUGCUUUUGGUUUCUUAAAUUGUUGAACAUCAUCAGUUAUGAUAUGUACCUCCAGAAGAACGGUAUCUGUAAAUGAUGAUUCCCAAGGCUUUACUGAUGGUCCUGACUAUAACUGCAAUUAAAAUCCACUGCCUCAAGACUUCUGGGGCUCACUUCUUAUUACUCCAGUGGUUAAUUGAAGUGUUACUCAAGGCUGAAAAUAGUAAGCACGGCCAGAGGCCUCCUCGUGUCUCUGUUUCUAAGGGCUUCGGUCUUGAAGAGGAGGAUGCUGGGUGGUUAGGAGGAGAAAUGAGCCCCUGUUUCCUCCUGUGACUUCUUCUUGAACUAAUGAGUAAUUAUAUUCAAAGCCCCUGUACACAGGGUGUGAUACAAAGGUUAAACUUAGUCCCCCCCUUGUCAAGAGCUCAGUGCUAAAAGAACUUGAAGGAGGUUCCAGAAUUCAGCUAUUGGAGUAACUGUUAUUACAGAGUCCCUACAGCAAUGACUCUGGGGCUAAAGAGAAAGAGAAUUAUCUCCCAGGUUUAUAUGUGUGUGUGUUUUAACUCCUACUGCCACCUCCCUCUGGCUAAGCCAUCUGUGAGCUACCCUCAGUCUAUGCUAGCACCUUCCCCUCCCCCCCCCCCCCGGCCAAGCUUGAGAGAUUUUAAAAAAUUGGUUUACAAAAUUGCCUUUUUUCUUAAAAUUCCCUUUUCUUAAUUCUAGGAAGCAGUGCUUAGAGAUACUGCCUCUGGAGUCCAAUAGAGUUGGCUCAAAUCCUUGCUCUGCCAUUUUUUUAGCAUUGUAAAUGCAUGCCUCCGUUUCCUCAACUGUAAAGUACGGUUCAGACCAGCAUCUGGCUCAGCAGACACACAGUGAGUGCUUACUGAGCAAGAGGCAGCAAGAAUAUUGAUAACCCUCACUUGUUUUCCAGAAAACUUGGGCAAAUUAUAUGCAUUCUUAGAGUCAAUGCUUUGAGUGCUCCUUGAGGUGCAAUCCUAUCUGCAAAACACUGGGAAAGAUUCUGAACAGACUAAUGGUGAGGCUGUCUGGUGAGGUAGAAAGCCUCCCCUGACAGCUGUGUGAGUGGUCCCUUCUGAGCCUCAGUUUUCUCAUCUCUAAAUCGGGCAUGAUUCAAUAACGACAGAGUAACUUACUGCAGAGUCAGUCAGUUAAAGAUAAAAUAAAUAAUCUAAAAAAAGUGAGAAUUAAAACUUUUGUGGGGGUCAUGGCCUUUCUAAUGAAGCUAUAAUCUCACUCCCCAGAAAAAUAUGUGCGUAUGUGCACGCAUGUGUGUGCAUACUCAUCACACACACACGCACACAAUUCUAUAUACAAUUUCAAGGGUGCACAGAACUAGGCCAAACUCCCCUGAUGAAAGAAGCAUAAGUAGGAGGGGCUACCAAGCCCCUAAACUGAGCAUAUCAUCAAAAUGGGGAAGUGGAAUUUGCCCGUGAGUUUUCUGGCAGAUACGGAGGAGAGAGGGGGAAAAAGAACUGCAUUCCAUAGUGUGUGUUUUUGACAAGAAAAUGCAGAGACAAAAUGGUUUUUGGAAUCAAACUCAAGCAUUCUUUUCCUAAGAGCUGAAUAUACUGCAUGAUUUGCUUUUGUUGCUAUAUUUUUUUGUUUGAGUCAUUUUGGUUCCCAGAUAAAAUGUUAAUAGAUUUUCUUGAAAUUAAAAAAAAUAAAUAAAUGAAUACGACGAGAGAGCACGUCCAGUGUCACAGUGUGGAAGAUAAAGAUGUACGGUUUUUCUUUAUCCUUUUCUGAAACCCUUAGUCAUCCCCUUUUCUGCUAACAGGCAAUGUGGUUAUGCAAAAAUUUCUUAUGUGUAUUUUCACUGAUGCAACUGCAGGUUUUGAAUUACGGAUAGUCUUUGCAUAAAGACUAAAACAAUAAAAGCAUAAUUAGAAUACGUGGUAUACAGCCGACUCCAGUUUUAUUUUGCCCCAGCUCUGUAUUUAUGAUAAAUCACUAACACAACCGCUCUUUAGGGAGGGUGAUUUUGGGUCUCGUCUCUCCAUUGAGCAAAAACAGUGCCUGUGACUAGAGGCUGAAUUUCAAUUCUGCAAGUGUACAGUGGAACUGAAUAAUAUUUGGCACAAUGCAGUGCACAACCGAGCCACUAAAUGGCUGAUUUACUAAAUUAUUAUUAGAUGAGCCCUUGCUGUUCCAAAUGAAAGUGCAGUCACUGCCUUCCUUCGUGGUGUGUUCAAAUUGUUCUGUGUUUAAAUAUUCAGCAUGAGGCUAAUGUGAACUGAUGAACUGAGACUAUAAACAUUCACUUUCAAUACAGAUAGAGCGACAGAGAUGAAACAUAUCAUGUGGCCUGCGGAGGUGAAAAUGAUUUAUAUUUAAGGAUGUUGCUGCCUACUUCCAUUACUUUAAGGUACUCUUAAUUAGCAUUAAGAGUUAGAAAUGACUAAUUCCCAUGUACAGGAAGAGGAGGCUGGGAUUUUUUUUUUUUUUUUGCAUGCCAGUGCAGAAGUUACCACGAGGAACCGCUGCCUGUGUUGUUGUUCAGAACCUUGAGUUUUAUUCAUGGUGGGGUGCACCGCACCAGCAGAGUCAUGUGUCUGCUGGGAGAACUAUGGUGUCCGACAGUCAGUGUUUUUUCUCAGCCCACCCAAAGGGUCUACAGUCUAUCCUCACUACCAUCCAUCCCUCUGCAAUCCACCUCCCUUACCAUCACAUCUACUACACCUGCUACACGGACCCCCCAGCACCUCACUCUCCACGUCACCAAGCUUCUUUACUGACACCUGCUGGAGUGAAGAACAACCCUUUGCUCCUUGGGCAAAGAUAACCCCCUCCUCCUUCCUCCCCUUUGAGGGCAGUUAUAGGCAAGCACUUAAAAUACUGUGAUCACUUACAGUAGAUUAGAAUUUUUUAUGGGUACCGUGUUGCCAUAACAACACGAAGACAGCAGAUGACUUAAGCUAAGCUUGCAAAGCAAAAGGCUGCUCAUCUGGCAGUUAAAAUGAAUACAGUUCAUUUCACAAGUUUCCCAUAUGGACUCUUAGUGUAUGGUAAUGAGGAGACCAUAUGGUGAGAGAAAAUGCACUAAGAACAAUUGGGUUCCACUGGCUGAGUGGGAAGUUGGGAGAGAAAACCCGGGUGAGAGAUUCUGGUGCGUGUGCUCUCUGGGUUCAAGGUUUGGUUGAGGUUUGUUUGGGAUGGUUGUUUUCCAUAGUGGUUUCGCGUUUCUUAAUCUGUUCCUUAAUAUGUCAGCUGUGCGAAAUGACAAACAUCUUGCAAAUUUUGCAAUAUCAUUCAUCACAAACUGUCAGCAGUGUUUGCAAAUCUGACUUGCAAGAUCCUUUAAAUGUGUUGUUCUUAAAAGGCAACAGUACUAAGUUUUUAGACAAAGUGCAGGAAAAUUUAAGUACUUCUGACAAGCAGAAACAUUAACAGUAAUCAUUUUAAAAACACUCGCAUCUUUUGCCUGCAUGUUUAGCUGUAAAUAAUGCUAGAAUGUAUAAAAGCUUUAAACUAAAACUGUAAUAACUACUUUUUAUUAUGUUUCGUAAAGGAUAAAGAAAAUGCUGUGAGCCAUGUGUAUGGGUUACCUAUAGGUGCGGACGUAGGGAGAUGGAGGGUUCCCAUUCUCCUUACUGCUCACCAGAUUGGAAACCGGGGAGGACAGCUUGAAAAAGGCUCUAAAGUCAAUUCUGUACUAUACAUGCUUCAUAAAAGAUGAAUAUAAAUGCAUUAGUUAGACGCGGUGAGCUAAAUUAGAAGGUCAGGCAGGGCUGCGAGGGCUGAAAAAUCACACAACCAAUGAGUGUAAUUACUCUUUUUUAAGUCUAUUAAGUGGUGUUGCUCUAUCAAGGCUCAGGGAUAUAGGACAUGAAGAACAAGAUAAAGUAAUGUGUAUUUAUUACUCCCACCGGAUCAAUUUACCAGAUAUUUUCAGCUCCAUAAAGCAAAACACACAAAUGCCGCCUUUGUUACUCUUCUCAAACUGCCUUAUUUUCUCUAAAAGAGGGACUGGCUCUGGAAGAAAAAACACGUUUGCCCUGUGGAGGUCCCCACGCAAACCCCUCUGGGUGGGGAAUGAGAGAAGCUGGUGCGUAUUUGAGUAGGAAGGGGCUGAGGUUAGGCGAGAGACAGGAGAGAGAAGCCAGUCCCCUCAAGGCAGAAGUAUUUGGGUUUCCAGACCUGGGAGGGAAAUGGGAACUUGAUGCAGUGAGGCCGGAGGCCCCAGGUGCUAAUCUCAGUUUUCCCAUAUGCUUGCUGUGAGUGGUAGCAUGCCACCAGCCCUCUGGGAACUCUGACCCUGUGAAAUGGGGAGUACCCAUCUUGCAGGGAAUAGUAGCCUCCAUUUACUGAAGUCUCACUAUAUGCCAGAGAGUCCUCGUUGCGUACAUUAUCUCAUUAACGCCCAAUAGCCACGCUGCGGGACAGCUGCUUUACAAAGGAGAAAACGGGGGCUGAGAAGGGUGAGUCCCGUGCACGGAGCAGUGCAAGUGGUUUUCAAAAUCCACGUCCAUCUGACCUGAGAGCCCACUCUCUUGGCCUCAAUACCCUUCAAAAACCUUGAUAAAGCCGUGCCAGGCACAUCGAGGGCAUGACGCAAAGGUUACCUGUUCCCUGGGAUUCACUGCAAACACACGGAAUGCCAGCCAAGCUCGGUGCCUUUGUGCUAAUGCUCACUGACCACUCAGGAAGACAACUACAAAUCGAAAGGGGACAGAGACACCUCUGGCCUUCAAAACAGAGACAGCUCCUUGUUCAGUGUUUCUGGAUGGCCUCGUGCAUUUCAGCAUCUCAGCGUUUCUGAGUCCCCAUCCUCCGCACCUCUACAUUAUAAGAAAAGUCAACCUUUGCCCCAAAGUUGGUCACAUGUUCCUCUCCCUCCUGCCAGGAUCCAGAGAGGAAGGCACGUCUGUCUGUAUGACACAGAAUGGAAUGCUGCAGCUGAAAAACCUUCGCCUGCCCUUCUCCACGUGCACGUGAAAAAGGAAACCAAAGCACACCUGGGGUUGGCAUAAUUAUAGUAUUUUAAAUUUGUGUGUACAGCAACUAUCACUGAUGGUGGCUUUCAGGGACAAAAUAAUUUACAGAGAAGGGUUCGGCUUGCUCCUGUUUUCUCGUUUGGUAACUAGGAAUGAUGUCUGCUUUCCCGACUUCUCUCACAAGAGGGGCUCCAAUAAAACAACGCAUGUACAAGUUCUUUGAAAAAGCACAAGCCAGUAUACAAAGGCAUAUUAUCAUGGAAAGCUGUCUGCUUGGUCUUUGGAGCAGUUUCAUUUGACAGAAUAUGUGGGUGGUUGUAUGAAUCUAGCUUUGUCUAUUCGCAAACACAUGGGUUUAAUAAAGUGGAGUUUGUUUUUUAAGGUGUGUGGUCCAUGGCUCACUGAAACACUCCUGUUUUACAAACACUGACCAUGAUUCUAAGAAAGGCGGAGCCCGUUUUCAUCCCCCUAACAAUGGACAGCGGGACUAUAAAUCUCCCAGGUCCACAGGAAUACCUCGUGCUGGCUCCAUCCGCCACUUCCUGACCUUGCUCUUGAACUCUCACUCCACCUUCACAUUCGGAGCCAAGAGGACACCACUCUGAUCUGAGUCACACAGAGAGCUUCCUGGGGUGGGCUCUGGCCAAAGUCCUCGCACGGUCCAGUGGCUGGAUGCACACUGUGGAGUGUUUCCUUAACACACAAACCCAUUGUGUCCUUGAUUACUCUUCCCAAACCCAGGAAAACGGGGCUGGGAAUUUCACCAUCAGGCCACCGGAGACAAAGUGACACGUGCCUGUGCUAUUUGGUCAACAUUUCUGAACGUGAUAUGCAGCCGUGAAAAUGUUAUGAAAAGUAAAUACACAAAACUCAACCAUAUAGUCCUGUUUCUCUCCUUUCUUUAUGAAUAAGAAAAGUAUUGCUUGGCUGCUGUAGACCUCAGCCAUUAAACCAAAUCUGUCUCCUGUUUUUCAAUCAAUAUUUAUGGAGUGGCAGUUGUGGGCCAGAAACUAUGCUGAGGCUCCCACAGGAUUACUUCUUUUUGUCCUAUGUGAUCCCAGUGAAGUUGGCACGAUUAUUUCACCCCCAUUUUAUAGAUGAAGAAACCGAGACACAGAAGAUAAACCAUACACUCCACUGCUGACCUGAAUUAGGACUUCCUGCUCUGCAGAGAGUGGGUAGGAGAGCUCUCAGAAGCCAGGGUCCCACUCUCACUCAACUGGCAAAUAAUUAUAGCUACCUUUUGUGGACUGCUAAAUGAGUGAUUAAAGCAACCCAAAAAAGUAGGAAGUAUUACCAUCUCCAUUUGACAGACAAGGAAACUGAGGCACAGAGAGGUUCAGAAUUUGGGGGGUGGGGAGAAAGAAUUUUGACCCAGACCACAGAGCUCUCCAGUCCCUUCAGCAGACUCUAGGGACAUCAAAUGCCAAAUGAAAGUGAAAAUGGUCCUCAAAUGGAAACAAUGGGAAGAAUCUGGCAAUGCCCUCAUGGCUUCUUCCCACCAUUGGGUGGACACACAUUAUUUACAUCUUCGUGCUAUAAAAUUACCGACUAUUUUCCCAUAGGAAAUGCAUGGGAGUUGGGUUCUUGCCAGACAGGAAGCUAAAGGUGAUUCUCUUCAUGGCACACCCAUCUGUGGAAGCAGAGGGCCGUUCACUAUUACUGUUAGAUUCUGUAAUUGCUCACCAAGAAUAAGUCAGGGUGAAAGGGAAGGAGGUGUAAGAUGGAGGCCCCUUUCAAAGACAAGGAUAUGUACGGACCGACACAUCAUAUGAUUUCUUCCUCAGGUGAAAUGCUCUCAAGAUGUUUUUUUAAGGUGAACAGCGCCAAGUGGAAGUGAGGCUGUUAUGGGAACUCAGGGUUGAGACUGAAGGCUCUGUGGGUCUUCCCCCGGGGUCUAGGAGAGGGCAGAAUUUGCUUGUCACGGUUCUUCCUCUCUCUGGGCAGGCAGUGCCCCAGACCCACCCCCCAGCGCCUCACAUCUGUGCAUCAGUUUCGGCGGGGAGGGGCAGCUUUCUCCUGGACAGGCCUGUUCUGACAGUGGUCCUGCCGCUUCAGUGCAGCAGGGCCCACAGGUAAGAUGUGAUGAUGAAAUGAUCGCCCAAAGAGGUUCGCGGAGCUAGGAAGGAUGCCAACUUCAUUUUUAUAAGUGUAUUACGAGCAGAAACAGACCUGGACAUGACAUAUCUCUAGACUUGCUGUGGCAUGGAGAGGACCUUUCCUCUACUCAUUUAAUUUAUACUAAUUUUUACUUGUGUAGUAAAUGAAAUUUCAUUUUGCUGUCAGUAAACAGUGAAUGGUAGCUCGACCAAUUCCGUUCGUUGAACUUCUAUAGCAUUUAACUGUUCUCUCCUCUGAGUCCUCCCAGAACUCUGGUUGCACUUUUGUUAGUUGUACCUAUUGUUUUCUGUUUUGUAUGGCGUUGUAUUUGGCUUUCUCUCCCACAGGGCGUCCGAGUUCCUUGGGUAGAGAGAUAGGAAUAUCCCCAACAUUGACAACAGGUACGGAAUAGAAACCAAUAACUGUGCAUUUCCUUUUUUUCUGCAUUGGCAAUUAAUACCAUUGCUGUAUGACAUAUCUUGCUCUACCUUGAAUUUGUGUCUAAUUUCUCCCACUUGUGUCUUAGGUGGGAUGCCUCUGGAGGGAACAGACUCAUGUCUUAGUAGCCCCGGUGCAAGGUGUGCCAAUAUGCUUUCCUUUGAGCUCUAGCUGUUCUCCCCUCACCAGAAAUAAGUAAAGAUCCUCAUGGGGGUAGAAAAGCAAUGUUCUUUUUCCUCUUGAGAACUGAUACGAUAUAAUGAUUAAUAACCUGGACUUAGGAGCCAGGCUUUAGAGGUUUGAAUCUCCGUUUAGCAAUUUACAUGCUGUGUGACCUUGGGCAAAUGAUUUAACCUCUCUUUGUUUGGUUAUCUUCUUCUCUAAAAUAGAGGUGGUAAUGGCACCAACCUCAGAGGGUUUUUUAGAGGAAGAAAUGACAUGAUAUAAGUAAAACAUUACCUGGCACAUAAGUGCUUGCUACUUUGAUUAUUGCUUACCUUAUAAUACUAAACACACAAUGCACAAAAAUAUUGAGUUGCUUAUCUAUGAACUAACUUUUAUCAAUGGCAAAGUUUUCUGCCAGUCACCUGAGCCCGUGUUUCCAGAGACCCUAACCCAAAGAGGAG